GCGAGUAACGCGUGCUUAACUUGCCCCGAAGAUGGGUAUAACUGCAGAGAUGUAGCUAAUUCCCAAUAUGCUCACGAUGGUGAAAUUCCAAUGUGAGGAAAGAUUUAUCGCUUCGGGAGAGUGGUGCGUCCUAUCAGGUAGUUGGUAAGGUAAUGGCUUACCAAGCCUAUGACGGGUAACCGGUCUGAGAUGAUGUCCGGUCGCGAUGGGACUGAGAUACGGCCCAUACUCCUACGGGAGGCAGCAGUGGGGAAUCUUGCACAAUGGACGAAAGUCUGAUGCAGCAAUUUCGCGUGAAGGAUGAAGCAUUACGGUGUGUAAACUUCUUUUUUGGCAGAAGACGAAUGACGGUAUGUCAAGAAUAAGAGACGGCUAACUACGUGCCAGCAGCCGCGGUAAUACGUAGGUCUCAAGCGUUGUCCGGAUUUACUGGGCGUAAAGUGUCCGUAGUCUGAAUUGUAAGUCUGUUUUCAAAUCCUACGACUCAAUCGUAGAAAGGGAGUGGAUACUGCAAUUCUGGAAGUAUCUGGGGGUUAGUGGAAUUUCCGGUGGAGCGGUGAAAUGCGUUGAUA
rnacentral:rRNA from 1 species